AUGUAAUUCAUUAAGGAUUUUGAAAAUCUUUUGUAAGUGUUAAUAUACACUAUUACAUU
rnacentral:tRNA from 1 species